UACGGGGGGGGCAAGCGUUGUUCGGAAUUACUGGGCGUAAAGGGCUCGUAGGCGGCCAACUAAGUCAGACGUGAAAUCCCUCGGCUUAACCGGGGAACUGCGUCUGAUACUGGAUGGCUUGAGUUCGAGAGAGGUGGGUGGAAUUCCUAGUGUAGAGGUGAAAUUCGUAGAUAUUAGGAAGAACACCGGUGGCGAAGGCGGCCCACUGGCUCGAUACUGACGCUGAGGUGCGAAAGCGUGGGGAGCAAACAGG
rnacentral:rRNA from 1 species